GUGGGGAAUCUUCCGCAAUGGGCGAAAGCCUGACGGAGCAACGCCGCGUGAAUGAAGAAGGCCUUCGGGUCGUAAAGUUCUGUCUUUAGGGAAGAACCGCAUAUCUGUGAAUAAUUGGUAUGCCUGACGGUACCUAAGGAGGAAGCUCCGGCUAACUACGUGCCAGCAGCCGCGGUAAUACGUAGGGAGCAAGCGUUGUCCGGAAUUACUGGGCGUAAAGGGCGCGUAGGCGGGGAUUUAAGUUAGAUGUGAAAACACCGGGCUUAACUUGGUGACUGCAUUUAAAACUGGAUUUCUUGAGGGCAGGAGAGGAAAGUGGAAUUCCUAGUGUAGCGGUGAAAUGCGUAGAUAUUAGGAGGAACAUCAGUGGCGAAGGCGACUUUCUGGACUGUACCUGACGUUGAUGCGCGAAAGCGUGGGGAGCAAACGGGAUUAGAAACCCUAGUAGUCC
rnacentral:rRNA from 1 species